UCCAAACAUACAAACCAAAAAAAAUAUUUCAAUAGAAAUAAUUUUCGUUCCAAAAAAUAAAUACGUUUUUAAUUUGGUUGCCUAGUGUUAUCGGCACACCAAGAACUAGCCGGCGAGUCCCAGGUACUGUCGAGACACUUUUUGACCGACAACCACAACGACGACAAUCCACAACUUCGGCAGCGGUCUUUUUGCACGAGGAGGCUCCAUUAAUGAUGCAGCAAAUGGAUAUAUUUUAGCCUAACAUGUAGCAUGUAUGCACCACAACUAAAAGAGAAAAUGUUGAGAAGAAAAAGCUAGGCAAAGUGCAAAUAAGAGCCAAACCAUGCUGCAAGACGAGUCGUUCAAGGGGCAACACCCUUCUGGAUGGCCAAGAGUCUUUCCGAAUCGUCCAUGUCUACACUCUGUCUGUUACCAGAGCCAAUAGAAAGAAUCAGAGAUAUCAAAAUAUUUCCAAUAGCUCACAACAUUUGUACAACGACCAACGACUGAGAGCCAUCUGCAGAUACCUUAAGAUCCACCGACUGGACUGGGAACCAGUGGAAUCGAACCUCCAAGAAUUGAGCCCUUGAAUAGUAUGUACAUACAAGGCCCAUGAUAUAAUCUCUCUGCAUUUUCGAAAAAGAAGAUGCAGUCGGAAAAGGAGAAGAAGAAGCAGAAGAGCGUCUGCCCUUUUGUGGCUGCUGCUGCUGUCGUGCCCGCCUUAAUGAUUUUCCAUUUUUUACACAAACAACUGAACCCACCUCACACAGCAGCUGUUCGCUGUCCGGUGUCUGCUUCACUGAUUCACCACUCCACCGGACCGGACCCCCAUUUCUGUGGAUACUCUGCACGACGACACAUGCAGCUUGCGCGUAUGGAAAGCAUUCAAAAGCAAUUAAGCGCUUUCUUUGCUGCCAGCCGAACCAGUCAGUCCCUGCAAAAGAUCUGGGAGGUACACAGGGCCCUUGCAACACAUGACUUCAAAAUGUAAUGUCAUUAAUCAAAUAAAAGAAAGGGGAGCAAAGAAGAGAACGAGAGAGAAAAAAGAAAAUCAUAGGGGAGAAACGCCCAAGUACAAGGCGAAACACUCUGAGAAAAAUGCCAAAGUAAAAACAAACACGCCCAUAUUCAAAUUUAAAGUAAAUAGAAUUUGAU